UACGGGGGGGGCAAGCGUUGUUCGGAAUUACUGGGCGUAAAGGGCUCGUAGGUGGCCAACUAAGUCAGACGUGAAAUCCCUCGGCUUAACCGGGGAACUGCGUCUGAUACUGGAUGGCUUGAGUUCGGGAGAGGGAUGCGGAAUUCCAGGUGUAGCGGUGAAAUGCGUAGAUAUCUGGAGGAACACCGGUGGCGAAGGCGGCGUCAC
rnacentral:rRNA from 1 species